UGAAAUGUCCAGUGGCCUAGUGUCGGUCGUCUGAGCAAGGUGAACCACGAUGAGUGAUACCAACGAUGCCUGUGAUGUCUCGCGAGUAAGCAAUCGAAGGUUCAGAGACAAGCAGGUGUCGAAGCAAUGGCUGUCGUUUGCUGGCGACUGUGCACCCAUAAGAAAGUACCUCGCCUCUCGAAGUUUCGGCUCCUACUGGGCGCCAAUCAAAUUUCUUGACGCCCUUUUCAGAGGAUAUGGCCAGGUGGUAUUUGCCAACAACCCAAUCAGCGGAAUUUUAAUCUUCAUGGUUCUCACAGUGGCGGAUCCCCUUGUGUCGGCUGCAGGACUCCUCACAGCGUCUGUCGGGUUGCUUGUCUCCAUCAUGAUACUCCCUCAGCCUUCAGAGGUCCUCGGUCAAGGUGUCACAGUGUUCAACUCGUUGCUUGUUGGACUGAUUACGUCAUCAACACUCCCUACGCGCUACGGUCUGGAACUCGAAACCUGGCACUGGUUUUCGAUGAUCAUCGCAUCCAUCAUAAGUGUGUACGUGGAAUCAGCUAUCAGCAACAUUCUAGGAUCUCUAUGUCAAUUUCCUUUGCCAAUUCUCACGGUUCCGUUCAACAUUGUCCAACCGUUGUUAUUCCUCACCGUCAUCAAUAUUAACACUCAACUUACCGCGAGCAACACAGUGGCAGUAACAACAGCCCAUCACGUGACGCUCCAGCCUCCACCUCUUGUGCCGUCAUCACUAAUCAUCGAUCAGGUUCCUGGCGCCACAACGCAGCAGCCUCUACCGUUCUUCCCGAAUUCUCUAACAGAGCCGAAUUCUGCAAGUGUAUUAAUGCAUGAAUUGGGCACCCAUAAUAAUGCGUUCGUUGCAGAAGUACAAGAUUACCAAGAUGUUAAUACUCACACAAAUUUCCAACACAUCACAACGAAACCCAGUGAAAUUUUGGAUUUUGAAAACAAUAUCAAACACAGUCGAACCACGCGCGAAGAUACGUUUGAUGCAGACACUGAAUCUGGCAAAGACUUAAAUUUAAAGAAUGAUUCCAGGCUCAACGUGAAUGAAUUAGAGUAUGUUGAAUAUCUGACAACGGCCGCAGAUGAUUUUCGCGAAACGGGAACUUCAGCAAUUACCGUAAUCCCAGAACAAAAUCAGUCUACACCAGCAGAAUUAUUAAACGCUAGUAUUUCUCGCUUGCAGUCCCAUUCUGGAAAGGUAAAUGACACUUAUUCUGUUGGUAGUGUUGUGCAGUUAUUGCAAGACAAACAUAAUUUUAUAGUGGAAGAAGAUUAUGAUGCUGGGAUUCAGCUGAGUCCAAUUACUAGUUCUAUGGAGUCAUCGACAUCAGAAAUUUCUCCAUUAUAUUCAACGAACUCUGCCAAUAUCUUUGAAGAGGAAAACAUUCCUGCAGAUGAGGACGCAGUGAGUAGGAGGGUAAAGCGAAGCCUCUCGUUGGAGGUCACACCACACCAAAAUGCCAGCUCUGAUGUCAUGGAACAUAUCGUAGACUGGGGAGGGGUGUUCUCAGGGGUGGUGUUGUCUAUGUCACAAGUGUAUGGUGUCAGCCAGGCACCGACUGCCAUCCUUAUUUACCUGGCUGUGAUCGUAUAUUCUCCUAUUUCGGCAGCAUUUGCGGUCCUUGGAGCGGCAAUUGGCACACUUACAGGAUUACUGCUGACGGAUGUCGACACUUACGCCGUCGCUGGCGGGGUUUACGACGGUACGUGGGGGUUCAACGGGCUUCUCUCCGCAAUGUGCCUCGGUGGUGUCUUCUUCGUGUUGAACUGGCCGGCUACGAUUGCUGUCGUCUUGUGUUCAUUCCUCUCUACAUUCAUUAUGAACGUUUUGAUCUCGCCGUUUGCUGAGGCUGGUCUGUCUCCCAUGAGCUUGCCCUUCAACCUAGGCGCUCUCUUAUUCCUCUGCGUUUCGUCGUCUGGUUAUCUUGUGCGACCUAAUGCUGUCACCUUUCCCGAGAAACAUCGCCAAGAGUAUCGAAGUCUUCAUUUGCAGGAAACACAGGAAGAAUCUCCCCCGACUUCAAACUUAAAUGAUAAAGACGAGGGAAUGGAGAAAAAUGUACUAUCUGAAGUAAAAAUAGUAUAAUCAGAAGAUAUUGUGAGGCGCAAAGAACCAUGUCACAACGGGAACUCGCCAGCCUCUGCAUCCAGUCUGUUACUGCCCGUCCACAACUCUGAGUAAACUGGCUGAAGAAGCUGUUCAUGGGAUGUCCAAUUACGUAUGCCGAAGAAGCCCUGAGUUGAAGUUGACUGUCUUGUGGGUUGUUGAACCGUGGAGUGUGAUAGAAAGUUUACUACAUUUACCAGACUGCACGGUGUGACGUAGCAGAAAUCAGCCAUGAUCUUACCUGACGCCGUGAAAACAAAUCUCACUUAUCUGCUAUUUGUCAGUGACUGUAGCCUGAUCUCAACGUGGUAUUUUAAACCUGAAGACAUUAUUCAGUAAUACUCUUCAAGAAAAUAAAACAUGGCUUCGUGUUGGUGUUGGAAAUUUUUCUGGCAUUCUGUGUGAAUACAUAUUUGUGUGCAGCCUGUGAAUAAUGUAUUAACUUCUGCAUUAAGUCGUUUGUAGUGAGAGAAACGGCUGAGAAGCUGAUGUUAUGAUCCUCUUACCUGGUUUGGGGCUUAGUGAUCGCAGAGAACUAAAUAAAUAAGCAAAAUUAUUUA